rnacentral:lncRNA from 1 species
AUUUGAAACACUCUUUUUGUGGAAUUUGCAAGUGGAGAUUUCAGCCGCUUUGAGGUCAAUGGUAGAAAAGGAAAUAUCUUCGUAUAAAAACUAGACAGAAUGAUUCUCAGAAACUUCUUUGUGAUGUGUGCGUUCAACUCACAGAGUUUAACCUUUCUUUUCAUAGAGCAGUUAGGAAACACUCUGUUUGUAAACUCUGCAAGUGGAUAUUCAGACCUCUUUGAGGCCUUCGUUGGAAACGGGAUUUCUUCAUACUAUGCUAGACAGAAGAAUUCUCAGUAACUUCCUUGUGUUGUGUGUAUUCAACU